GGCCCCAUCGUCUAGCGGCCUAGGACAGGUGGUUCUCAGCCAUCAGACAGGGGUUCAAAUCCCCUUGGGGCUG
rnacentral:tRNA from 1 species